rnacentral:rRNA from 1 species
UACAGAGGGUGCGAGCGUUAAUCGGAAUUACUGGGCGUAAAGCGUGCGUAGACGGUUUUGUAAGUCGGAUGUGAAAUCCCCGGGCUCAACCUGGGAAUUGCAUUCGAGACUGCAAGGCUUGGGUGCGGAAGAGGGAAGCGGAAUUUCCGGUGUAGCGGUGAAAUGCGUAGAUAUCGGAAGAACAUCAGUGGCGAAAGCGGCUUCCUGGUCCAGCACCGACGUCAGGCACGAAAGCGUGGGGAGCAAACAGGG